rnacentral:lncRNA from 1 species
AUGGAGCUGUGGUGCAUUCCUGCCCUUGUGCAUCAGGCCUUGGCAGAGAUUUCUCUGGAGAUUAUGUUGCAGAAUCUUUUACAAGAAACGAACCUUCAAGAACAUGCUACUGGAGCCAAAUCUGGAACCUUUUGGGUAUGUGUUCAUGGAUUUUGGGAUGUCGAAGGCUUAAUGAUCACAUGUGCCUAUGAGUUUUUCCAAUUGUAAAAAAUAUUUUGUGCUUUUUAGCAAGGAAACAAUUGUUCUUGACAUAAUUUUUAUGGAAACAUUUUAAUGUUGUAAGUCGUUCCAGUGCUGGACAAUAGCAUACAGACAUCUCUGGACUGUCACAGUUUGAGUUAAUUGGAGAUUUUCCAGGAUUUCUCCUAAAUAUCCUGGCUUUCCUGAGGGCUUUUUUCCUGAACUCCUUUUGUACCAUUUUUCAGACUUCUCCAACUAACUCCACAGUUGACGAAGUCUCAGUGCAGUAAGUGAAAGAUGCGAGGGAUGAAAGAAAAACAGCUUGUCUUAAAUGCAGUAGAUUUUGUUUAUUAAUUAACAAGCACAGCAAAAUGAACUACAAAAGAGCCUGUGAAAGGUAAAUGGAUUUAUGAUUGAGUCAGAAAUAGCUGAAAGACGGUUUACCCCAGUAGAGAAAGCCUCUUUUAAUAUAUAACUAAUCCUUUUAAAAAAUGCUGGAAGGACUUUUCAGAGGAAGAGAAGAAAAUUACUAAGAUUUGAAUUGCAAAUAUUUGCUGCAAGCAUUGUUUUCCCCAAAUAUAUGUUAAGGUGUUUUGAAUUUUUGACUGUUCCUAUUUAUUUCCAGGUAUGACACAUCAGCCCACCCCUCCCCCUACCAAGUCUAAACAACUGCAAAAUGUGUUUUCCACAAAACCUGGAUGUUUAACUGUCCUAGGCAGCUGAGAUAAGAAAACCCGAGGGGUGUGGUUGCCAAAACUCAAUUAUAAAUUAGCUUACAAUAACCAGUGAGGAAAAGAUAGUUUUAAACAAAUGUUUUACAGUUAAUGAUAUUUUAUUUGUUCUCGCAUAAUCCCUUUCUGUCACAAUUUAUAACACCUGUUAUUUAACCACAAAUAAAACCUGACAUGCUGGUGUUAUGCUGCUGCA